AAUAAAUCAUAAUCGGAGAAUUCCGAAAACAAACUCAACCAAAACGAAAUGUUAGCAAGCGAUAAAAAAAUGGUUGGUUAUUAUAUUUUAUUGAAUUCUUCUAAUAGUCUAAGAUCCGAAUUUUGGUCGUCCUGGACUUAUCGGCUUACCGGAUGAAACUUACUUUUGAUGAAAUAUAUUAUCCAAAGGAACGUAUCGCAAAUAAGUUUCCUAAAAAAAGGUGGCUAAAAAAAGUCGAAUUUUGCCUUUUUUCAGUGUUUUAAAGCUUUUUUAAGUAACAUUUUUGAAAAUGAUUUACAGAAUACAUUAUUCUACCCGGGACAUCGGGGAGAAAGUCUCUUAAGGUGCGGUCACUGCUUUAUAUAAUUCAGAAAAUCGGAAAAAUUUUUUUCUUUUUUAAAUAAUGUACGAAAAAAAAAUUCAAGAUUCUGAGAAUUUUUUUUUCGGUAAGACAUUGUUAAAAAAUUUUAGAAUAGAAAGGUAAUGGUAAUAGCAGUAGUAAUAGUAGUAUAAAAAAUAUUUUUUUUGUAUUUUUUGUGGAAAUAAAAUAACUGCUGUUUGGAAAAAAGCUGUUUUUCAUAUCAACAUCAACAUUUAUUAAUAUUAUUAUAACUGGGAUUACAGGAACGUGUUUAUGUCAUUUUAAUAAGCGUUUUAGUUUUAAAUUACUGCAACAUUUUACUAUAUUUAACAAAAAAUUUGGUAAAGGUAGACAAUUUGGCUACACGCCGCUAUAUAUUUGGUUGCAUAGUAAUUGAUUAAAUAGACUGAUCCAAAAAUACUGAGUCUGUUGGCAACACUGGACUCAAAUUUUUAAGAAUACCAAUGGAGUACGCUUCCAGUUAACAACCAUUUAAGAUUCUUGUGGGGUUGUACGUCAAAUAAUUGUCAAAAAAAAUCGAACUUGGUUGCAGUGUUGCUAAUUACGAGCACAAAUACUUUCAAAUGUGUUGCCAACAGACUCAGUAUUUCUGGAUCAGUCGUAAUUGAAAGUUCUCAAUUAAAAUUUAUUAGGCUCAAAAUAAUUCCAGAAAUGCAAAAAGGUAAAAAAUUGUGAAGACCUUCUUGUGUUACUGAGAUCCUAAUACACAUUUUGGUUGCAAUUUUUGCAAUAGCAAAAUUAUUUUUCAUUAUAAAUUGCAAAAUUGCAAAACGGGUUUGAGACCAGGAUUAUAGAGAUGCAAUGUAGCAAAAAAUUGUAGACUUUUUUGCUUUCUUGUAAUUAUAAUAUACAUUUUGACUUUAUUUAAUGCUAAAAUUGUUUUAUUUAAACUUUCGUAUAAUUGGUAGUCUUUACAACUUAUAAAAAAUUGCAAAAUUGUAUAAAUAAAAUUUGUUUCUUUACAAGAACGUAAAAAGGUCUAUGGCUAGAAAUUCUUUAAUAUAAAAAAUCCUCUUGCGUUUCUGCGAUUUUGAUACACAUUUUAGUUUUAAAUUUUUGCAAUAGCAAAAUUAUUUUCCGCUAUAAAUUGCAAAAUGUCAAAACGGGUCUCGGACUAGGAUUUUGCAAUAGCAAAAUUAUUUUCCGCUAUAAAUUGCAAAAUUUUAAAACAGCUUUCCGACUAGGAUUACAGGAAUGCAAAGAAGUAAAAAAUUGUAUAAAAACCUUUGUGAGUUUCUGUGAUUCUAAUACACAUUUUGUAUUUAUUUAAUUCCAAAAUUAUUUUAUUUAAACUUUUGUAUAAUUGGUUGUCUAUACAACCUGUUGAACCUGUAGUAUUUGCUAGAUUUUAGAAAUAAAAUUCGUAUCAAGAUCACAGGAACACAAGAAGGUCUUUAACUUUAAAGACCUUCUUUCGUUCCUGUGAUCCUAGUAUACAUUUUGGUUAUACAUUUUUGUUUGUUUUGAGUUUGUAGGCUUGGUUCUUCGCUAUGGGGUCCUUCUCGAGGCCAGUUUCCGAAUUGUGCGACUCCCGGGCCACUAAUUUAGUUGGGAACUUUGAAGUGUUUACGCUUAUCGCAUUUUAUCGUACUGGAAGGAUAAAAUCCGACUUCGAAUUCUAUUGGGGCCCAUUUUGUCAAACGUUUUGUUGAUUCUUUGGUGGUCAUUUCCUUUGUUGGAUGAAUUGUUGAGGACCCAGAAUGGUUGUACGGUAGUGGAGGAUAGAAUACUAUUGGUUGCGAUUUAUACAGUUACUACAAUGGAUUGUUACACUACAGCAUGAUAGAUAAAUUUAAAGCUUCGCCCAAACCAUCGAACAAGUGACUACGAAGAAAUCGAUUACUUGGGACAUGUAACUAUUCCUAAGAGCUCAGAUUUGGAAGAAAUUAGAGAUAUUUCUAUAUGGAGUGAUUUAUAGAUGAAAUUUUUACAUUGAGGAAAAAAGUGUACAAUGGUUUGUUUUGCUGUAAAAGGAGAACCUGGUAUUGGUGUCAUUCACGGAGCUUUCAACACUGAAGCUCACAAAUUUUGGGCAUGGGUUGGCAAAGUAAAAUCUCCCAAUUUAAAAUAUGCGAGGAACAAGAGUGAAAACAUAGAUAAUAAACUUAAUGUUCCCACUGGUGAAAUAAAGAAAGUUUUACGUGAAUAAGCGAAAAUUGUGGACAUAAUUGAAGCCGCCGGUGCUGGCUAUAAAGCUUUAGAAGUUGUUCUGGACAAUGUGGAAGCUUAUUUGCCUACUACUUCUAUCAAGAAGUGUGAUAUUUGUGCAGAAAACGCCAUAAUAAAGGCAGUGGUUAUAGCGUUCUCCAUGGGCUCGAUUUACGAAUUGUGGAACUCUUGGUCCUGGACCAUUAUUUAUUUGGGAAUUUUGUCCUGAUUACAGUCAUCAUUAAAAUGUUUGCGCUAAUCGCAUUUUAUGGUACUGAAAGAAUAAAAUCCAACUUUGAAUUCAUAUUGGGGCACCAACAGUGAGUUUGUUGAGGAUACAGAAUGGUAUGGUUCUGGAUGGUACUAGUGGGUUAGGAUUUAUACAGUUACUACAAUGGUUUGUUACACUACUCCAUGAUAGAUAAAUUCAAAGCUUCGCCCAAACUGUCGAACAAGCAGGACCCAAUUUUGCGUUACACUAGGAUGCAGUGGAACAGUAAUCGAACGAGUAUUUUGAGUACUCUGUAUGUGCUAUUUGCAAAAUGAGCAAAAUGCGAUUACGGGUGACUUCGAUUGUUGAUUCAAUGGGCCCUCCGAGUCCGGUUAUAACAGCUUAAGAUAACAACAGGUUAUAACGGGUUUAAGACAAGUAUUAAUCCGUUGCCGAGGACGAGAUUCAUUAUAGUUCCAAUUCGGAAGAGGAGCCUUUAGGAAGGGGCCGUUUGUUGUUCCAAAAACUAAUAUAACGCAUGUUUGUCAAACGUACUGUAAUUUUUCCGAAAUUAUUUUUGUGUAUAAUUUAUAACAUUUAAUUUUAAAAGAAGUUUUGAAACUGUUAAUAGCUGCUGGAUAUUACGUAGGCGUACUCACUGUUAUUUAUGUUAUUACAGUUUCUUUAAAUAAAG